rnacentral:ribozyme from 2 species
GCCUUAAUGCAGCUCCCCCAGGGGGAACGGUCGCCAGCCCGUGAAAAUGCAGAGCGAGGC